UAUCUGCUCCACUGUGCUGUUGUAGCUAACACUGUCCACUUCAGCCGCAGCAGUUUGCUCUCAGUUAUUGUCCCUUAACUAACUGUGACUGAGUAGUGCCAAACUGAGGGAGGAAGGUCUGCGAGGUGUGUUCUCUGCGCUGGCGCUCACCGCGGCGGUGUCUGCAGGCACCACGGGCCGGGCCGCGCUCAGGCCCGGCGCGGCGGGCAGCGCGGCCGCGGGCCCGGCGGGGCUGGCUCUGCACAUGCUCCGUGUGCCAGCCCGGGCCGCUCGCUCUGCCCUCGCUGGGCUGCGAGAGCUGCGGCGUCGCCGGGCUGCUCGCAGGCUCUUGCGUUCGCUGAAGACGUGGCGUUUUUCAGGAUCUCAGAUAGGCGUCCGGGGCAUCUUUUUAAGAGAGUCCAUAAAAGAAUAUAAUGUUUCCAUCAGGCUCUUGCCUUGGCAACAACCUGCAGCCGUAAAGCGAGUUUAAUUCUUUGAGAAGAAGACUGGUGACAGCUAUCGUUUUACUGUGUACUGUAAUAUAUGAGAUUCUACCCUGAGAACCCUGGAGGUGGCAUUUGUCUGGUCUGGUUGUGAAUAAUGAGAUAGAUCACAAUGGAUUUCAGUUCCUCAUCCGUGUUUGACCAGCAUAAAGCUGGUGCAGCAGAAGAGAUGGACUUGGCUGUAGUUUACCAAGCAGCAGCUAACGGCGAUGUGAACACCCUGACUGCAGUGAUCCGAGAGGAUCCUUCCAUCCUGGAGUCUUGUGACAGAGAGGGUUGCACACCUUUGAUGCAUGCUGUGUCAGGACGCCAGGUUGACACAGUGAAGCUUCUGUUGAAGAUGGGAGCUAAUAUUAAUACUCAAGAUGCUUGUGGACGUACCAGUCUAUCUCUGGCAACUUAUUUGGGCUGGCUGGAAGGCUGUGUCAGCCUGCUCAGGAAUGGUGCUAAGCAGAACAUACCUGACAAGAACGGGAGGUUGCCACUACACGCUGCCACCGCAGAGCCUGAUGUGAGGCUUCUGAGCUUGCUUCUGCAGCAGUCAAAUCUUAGUGAAAUUAAUCACCAGGACAAUGAGGGAAUGACUUCACUCCACUGGGCUGCAUUCCACAACAGACCCCAGCACACCCAGACUUUGCUGCACAAGGGAGCAGACCCGACUCUGGUGGACAAGGACUUCAAAACAGCUCUGCACUGGGCAGUACAGAGUGGCAACAGGAUUCUGUGUUCCAUCAUUCUGGACCACUGGCAGGGACCAUCAAUAAUAAAUUAUGAUGAUGAGAAUGGCAAAACAUGCAUGCACAUUGCUGCUGCUGCAGGCUACAGUGAUAUCAUCAGUGAGCUGGCUAAGGUCCCAAAGUGUAACCUGCAGGCCCUUGAUGUGGAUGACAGGCCAUGGCCUAGUAAUGCCCUGCACUCCACAGAGAACUCUGCUUGCUCAGAAACACUCCAAACCAGUCCAGCUCACAUGUAUUGUACUUGGACUCCUUUGCACUGGGCUGCAGCAGCGGGGAAAGCUGACUGUGUGCAGACACUGCUAGAACUGGGGAUAGACAGCAGCCCUCGAGACAUCAAUGAAAACACUCCUCUGACAUAUGCAAUAUACUGUGGGCACACGGCGUGCAUCAAGCUGCUGACUCAGGAGAGCAGUAGAUAUGAGUCAGUUCAUCAGUUUCACUCCCAGAACAACAGACUUAUAAAGAAAGAAGGACGAUUCAGUAUGCUGAACCAGAUCUUCUCUUGCAAAAAGAAGAAAGAUGAUCAGAAAACCAGUCAGAAGGAGAGAAGAAGGGAUCAAUAUCCUGGAGAAGAAACUUCAGAAGUAGAUGAUAUCAUCACCCGUUUUGAUUGCAUUAUGAAUAAAAAUUGCAGAGACAUUCCAGAUGAGUGGAAGACCACCCCUGACUUUAAAAGAAAGACCACAGAUACUAAGUACCUCAUAGCAGAAAAGAAGAAAUCAGUAUGUCAGGGACUCCCACCCAUCACCACCCAGAGCUUCCCACCAAUCACUGCAGGCAACUCCUUCUUAACUGCUUCCCAGAGCAAAAUGUCAAGCUUCUCCUCCAGCUCCAGUACCCACCAUUUUCCAUACAAAUCUCAAAAGAGUAGGAGUGAGCACAAUUUGCUGGACAACACACACAGGUGCCAGGCUUUGCUGAAUGAUCCCUGGAACACAGAUUCUAACCAAAGGUUCUCUUACAAAGUCUGUACUAGAACUUCUUCAGACAAACUGAUGAAUGGCUUAGACUCUGAUAGAUCUCACCAUGUGCUUUUGUGCCCUCCCUUCCUUCCCUCACUUCCCAGUUCUCCAUCAGGAGACUUAGCUGAGGGGGGAAAAACAACAUCCAGGUUUUGAAGACACUGAAAUGUUAAUACUUCAUUUCUCCAUUCAUGACUGUGGGGGACUACAUGUAAUUUCCUAUCACUGAAUAUCUAGGGCAGGAUUAUGGGUACCAAUAAUCUAAGAAAACUCAAUUUUAAAAUUAUUUUCUCUGUUGACAGAGAGUGUUGAUUGUCUUGCAUGACCAUGUCUAUUGUCAAAGUCAAAGCUAGUUUUUGUGCUCACGUGCUACAAAAAAGGCAGCUAGCACAUAUAUGUGUCACAGCCUUUGGAGGUUUUUUGUUCUAUUAUCUGUGCUCCUGGGAGUGAAAGAUGAGUCAAUUUACCAGCUGGGCGUUAACACUCACACAAAGGGGAGAGGUUGCUGUGUGUAGCAAUGAGAGUUACCUUACUACUGUGCCAUUGGUAUCUCUCAGAAUUACUGCCCUUCACUGAGAAGAGCAAAUCCAGUCUAUACUAAAAACUGUCAUAAUUCCAUGAGAGUUUGCCACCCACAGUACUGAGCUAGCAUCAAAAAUCUGAAGCAUUUGCUUAUGAGCUUUGCAAUCAUCUCUUUCUGCAAAAUGCACUGCCAUCUACAUUCUACAGGGAAAAGUAGUGGAGUAGAGAAUUCCAAGUGAUAUGGGUAACAGGAAGCCUGUCUCAAGUAUAGGACUGCUCUGAGGUGCCUAUCAUCCACUCAUCUUUUGGGUUACUGAAUUUCCAGAUGUAAGAUGAUACUUUAUUACAGGCUUUAUUACAGUACCUUCUGUUUGCUUGAAUAGGUGAUGUGGAAAAUGGGCUAUUGUUAAGUUUAUGAUGGUAUAAGCAGUAUGGUAUAGUUCAACAGGAAGCAUUUUUUGGCUAGGAAAGCAGAGCAAAACUGAUCAGGGUGGCUGUCACUUUCUCAAAUUUAAGAACCCAUUUACUCUGAGACAUUCAUCAUAACAUUAACAACUUUUUCACAAAAUACACUACUAUGUGGUUCACCUUCCUAAAUGCAAGGAAAAAUGGGGAAAAAAUACAACCUCUGAAAGGACCCAAAUGCAGACCCUGCAUUUUAUAAGAACGAAAUUGCUUUCUUUCCAUUUUUUCAGUAAUAACUGCACUCAUAAAUGUGCUCUUGGAGACAGCAAAGAUGAUGUCUCAGAGAGAAAAAAACUAUUUUUCCAGAUGUUAUGUUAAACAGAUAGAAAGGAAAAGUAGAAGAAAACUUCUACUUGAUGCCAAAACUUUUAACUAGGAUUCUUUUCCAAGCAUUCAUCAUCCUUGCAAACAUGGUUAUGUUUUGUACCAUUGUUUUGCUGACAGAUAUCCCAUUUAUGAAAUGAACAUAUCUCUUGAUAGCAACAACAACCUCCCAUCAUCAAAGCUAUAAUGGUACUUACACAAUAAGCCAUUAGUUCUCAGCAUAAGCAUCACAGAAACCAGUAUAACUUGAGUUGCUCUAAUGAGAGCAACAAACAAUUCUCUGCUACAUAUCAAUUCCAAUAUAUCAUUGGAAUUGAUAUAUUUAGUCCUUUGUGCAAAGUGGAUGCGAGGUCUAUAGAAUAAAUUUACCAACUAGACACUAGAGAAGUUAAUGAGUAAAACACAGAAAAACCAAACUGAAGUCUGUUUCUGUUAAGCAGAGAUUCUUCAUGCAAGAUUCUUCAUGCUUUAGCAUGAAGAGAGAUUCCUCAUACAGAUUCUUCAUGCUUUAGCUCAAACACAUCAGCUUAACCACAAGAUCCAGCAGACUGACCCGAUGUUUAUCAGCUGUUGUGGCUUUCAGACCAGAGCCUUGCUCCAUGUUGAGCUGAAGGCUGCACCGUAACAUGGUGGUUUGCCUGACCAACGCCACAGUAACUCCUUUCACACAAAACCUGUUUAGUCAUCGACAUAGUUACAGCAGCCAUGACAGCUACUUCAGUGCACCUGUAGAAAACUUCUAGAAAACUAUUUUUCUACAUCUUUAUCUAGCACAGCCCAACAACACAUAGGUAUUUUCAAGUACCAGCUGCAAAGCCACAAAGGCAAUUAAUAUCAUUCCAUUUCUUCCUCCUGCUUAGGAUGUCCUGCUACAUCCACCCCGUGUCUCCUCCUGUCUCUGUGUGCUGACAGAGCAUAUGCCUGCUCUUCAAUGAGCUAUGUUGCAAAGCCGUGCUGGAUGAGCAGCUGCUUGCUAAAACAUCUCAUUACAUGGCUCAUCACAGAUUUGGUGAUAACAAGAAAAAUAAUUAGAGGGACUCAAGCAUCACAGAAUAAGAUCAGCUCAGGAAAAAGAUCGGGUAAAAAUGUUGACUUAGUGCUUGAGUUUCUACUUUUUCAGUAUUAGACGUGUCCUUUAUGUGAUGAAAUGCAUUACAUCAUCUAACAUACUGUCUUUUUUAAUAGUAUUAGACCUAAGUUAACUUUAAUUUUAACCAGUGACAUGCCAGAAUGAACCAAUUAACCUUUCCUUUUCCAGUAUAUACUCUUCUUGGUGAGAAUUAUACUGCCAUAAACAUAGUUUAAUAAGGAUCAGUAUAGCCUUCCAUCGGUUGUGAUAUGCUUUCAUCUCCAACAAAACCCUUCAAAGCUCAACUUUACUGCUAAUAGCUUUCAAUGUCCUUUUCCAACCAGCAAUUGAAGUCUAUUUUUGUUUUAAUACUUACAAAGGCUGAGACCCUAUCAGGACAUUUUGUAGACUAAACCUUCAAUUUUGAAAUCAAAACAUCUAUUUGAAUAAUUUUACAGAUUUCGAGUCCAAAGAUUCUUACAGAGACCUAGCUAAUAAACGGUGCCCAUUUUAAGACCUAAAGCUAUAUUAUACGAGAGGAAGCUAUAAGGGUAUAUGUGAAGGUUGUACUAAAUCAAUCUGUCCUUUUUAUGAGUGUAAAGUGAACUAAGCAACAGCUUCUUUUUUUUCAGUCAGUGGUUUCUUGUUAUUACAUAUUUCUGAGAAAUACUAAUUAAGUUUUCUUUUCUUUUCUGGAAGCCAGAAAUGCACAGUGCACCACACUAGUUACAAUUAUUUCCAUUAUAAUUUUCUUUUUCUUUCACAGGUAGAAGUUUUCAACAGAUGUCCAUAGACCAACACAAAAUGAAAAAUGGUAUUCCUGUACAGAACAGCCUAGCUCCAAUACCCAACCACAGUGCUCACAAAAUUCAGCUGCCAUCUCAGGAUGCUGAGUCCUUACGGACUGGUGCAG